rnacentral:rRNA from 1 species
GAUGAACGCUGGCGGCGUGCCUAAUACAUGCAAGUCGAGCGAACAGAUAAGGAGCUUGCUCCUUUGAAGUUAGCGGCGGACGGGUGAGUAACACGUGGGUAACCUACCUAUAAGACUGGGAUAACUUCGGGAAACCGGAGCUAAUACCGGAUAACAUUUAGAACCGCAUGGUUCUAAAGUGAAAGAUGGUUUUGCUAUCACUUAUAGAUGGACCCGCGCCGUAUUAGCUAGUUGGUAAGGUAACGGCUUACCAAGGCGACGAUACGUAGCCGACCUGAGAGGGUGAUCGGCCACACUGGAACUGAGACACGGUCCAGGCUCCUACGGGAGGCAGCAGUAGGGAAUCGUCCGCAAUGGGCGAAAGCCUGACGGAGCAACGCCGCGUGAGUGAUGAAGGGUUUCGGCUCGUAAAACUCUGUUAUUAGGGAAGAACAAAUGUGUAAGUAACUGUGCACAUCUUGACGGUACCUAAUCAGAAAGCCACGGCUAACUACGUG